GCUUACUUAGUCUGCACAGUCCUCCCGGCCCCGCACAAGCCCGCCGAGACCCUCUCCCAACCUCAGUCGGAACCAGGACCCCUCGGCGGCGCCCUGCCUAACGACGGCAGCCGCUCCUCCCACUAGCGCACGCUCCCGGAAGACGCCCCCUCCCGCCAGGCGGCCCCGCCCGUCGCCCCGCCCAGGGGCGGGACUUCCCUUGGCUCCCGGAAGGAGGAGGAACGUGUCUCUUCUGGACUUGGAUACCUGGGCGGAGGCAGAGGCGGAGGCGGAGGCUGGGGAGGUUUGGAAGAUUCUCGUUUGUUUUCUGGGGGUCGAGCGCCUGUAAGCUCUGGGGGUCUGUGACGUUCCGCGCGCUUUCUCGCCAAGCCGUGUCGGAGGGUCCUGGGUCCCAGCCGCGGCGCCCUUCCCAUCAGGUGGCAAGGGGCGGGCGGGCAGGCUUGCUGCGCCAGGCGUCUGUGUCCCGCGGAGGAGCCAGAAGCUUAAGUGAAAAUGGUACACGUUAGAAGAUAUGAAACAAGGAAAAAUUCUAAAACUCAAGGGCAUGAACAGAAAUCUCGAGUCGAUUGGAGGCGGACUAAAAGAAGUAGUAUCUCGCAGUUAUGUGAAAGUGAUGACGAGCUUGAGAGUGAUGAAAGUGUUGACAGUAUUGAAAGUGCUGACAGUGACGAAGAUCCUGACAGUAGCAAGGGGUCUGAUCACAUUAAGAAGCCAGAAAAUGAAAGAGAGCUUAAAUUAAUUAAUGUUGAAGGUGAAGGAAACAGUAGUAAGCAUCUCAUUAACACUGACAAUAGUUCAACAUAUGAAGAAGAAAAGAACAAAACUAAACAUGGAAGUAUUGACUUAGCAGAUCAUGAAAAGGGUUCAGGUCAAGAGGAGGGUGAUCUCAACAAACACACUGGACAAAUAACAGAGGAGGAUUUAGAAGAAGAACCCAUCAAGCGAGGGAAGAGAAAAAGGAUCUCCUCUGUGAUGUGUGACAGUGAUGAGAGUGACGACAGUGAUAUCCUAGCUGGGAGAGUGGGUGUUAAACAUCCACGCAGAGUGGUCGAAGAUGAAUGUUCCUCAGUGGAGAUGGAGCAAAACAUUCCUGAAAAAACUUCAGCUACAAGAAAACGAGAACAGCUGCAGAAACUGAAAGAACUCUCAAAACAGAGAUCUCGUCAGAGACGUAAUAGUAGUAGAGAUUUUGAGGACUCUGAAAAGAAAUCCUCCCCCAGCAGUGAUGAAAAUGAUGUUGAGGAGGAAGAGGAAGAAGACAGUGAUUAUGAAUUUGGUGAAGAUGGAGAUCAUUAUAUUAUUGAUGGCUUUGUAGUACAAGAUGAGGAGGGUGAUGAAGAUAAUAAAAGCCAACGAGGAGAACAAUUGACUACAUCACAACGGAAAUCAAUAGAACAGAAUUCUCUUUAUUCUUUUAGUGACCACUAUACUCACUUUGAAAGAGUUGUGAAAGCUCUUCUGAUCAAUGCUCUAGAUGGAUCUUUUCUGGGAACAUUAUAUGAUGGCACCAGGCAGAAAUCGUACGCACAAGAUAUGUUGACUUCUCUUCAUUAUUUGGAUAACCGCUUUGUUCAGCCUCGUCUAGAGAAUUUAGUCUCUAGAAGUCGUUGGAAAGAGCAAUACAAGGAGCGAGUAGAAAAUUAUUCUAGUGUAAGUAUCCAACCGAAGAAUCCUGAGAACUGUUCCUGCCAGGCUUGUGGGUUGCAUCGCUACUGUAAAUACUCAGUGCAUUUAUCAGGAAAGCUGUAUAACACCAGGACCAUGGAAACAGAUGAUUUCAUGUCACAUGAUAAACAGGUGUUUACUGUUGGCAGAAUUUGUGCUGAGCGAACCAGAAUUUACCAUAAACUGAAACAUUUUAAAUUCGAGCUGUACCAAGAGUGUUGCUCCAUUGCAAAGACAGAAGAGGUUGAGGAUGAACAGGUUAAAGAAACAGUGAAAAGAAUUUUCAACCAGUCAAAAAGCAGUGGCUGGAUUAAGAAGAAAUAUGAUCAACUUGAAGAAUAUCUCAGUUCUGCGGAUUACUUUCAAGAUGAGAAGUUUGAUUGAAUUUUAACACAUUUCCUUCAGAGAAGAUUUUGUAAAUUCCUGUAAAUGUAAAGAUCGCAAGUCUUAUUUCUCUGUAUCAUGUGACCUAUUUAUAUGUUUUAUGUAUAGCUUCAUGGCAAAAUAUCUUGUGUGAAACAUGUUCAUCUUAAUUUCCAUGAAACAACACUGCAGUCUAAUAAAACUUUUAUCUACUGUACAUAGAAUACACAAGCCUAACUUUAAGUGUAUUUGCAAGUUAUAUAACAAUGCCUUUAUAUCAGAUGACUAUCAAGUAAAUGAGCUCUUC
rnacentral:lncRNA from 1 species